rnacentral:lncRNA from 1 species
AAAAAAAGAGGAGAAGAAUGCACUUGGAGCUGAAUAUAGUAUGUUCCUCACGAGUCACCGUAUUUAAUUAAUGUUGAAAUAGAGGAGGCUUCUUCAUGAAAACACCCCCUCACCCUCCAUCCCAGCUUAAAAAAUAAAAAAAAAAGAUAGUUCUCUUACACAUGAUGAGGCUAACGGCUUUGAGAAAGUCAUAUCUGGGAGAUAUUCCGCUGUAGUGUUGCCAAUUGUUAAAGUGAUUACUGAAGCACGUCAAGAACAUGACUUUUAUGCUACUUUUGACAUUCCAAUUGCUAUUAUUAUUGUUGGCAUAAUCUGAAGUAAGAGUAGAUUUCUAAGAUUAGAAAUUUUCUUUAUCUAUGUCAUUUUAACUAAAAAAGGUAGAGAACUCCCCACUGUAUUUUCUCCCUCAACUCACUUAUUGUAUUUGCAUCUCCGACUGUAUAAUUGGACAAUUAUGUUUUCCAACGAAGUUGAUUUUCUAACUUAAUAUCCAAAAGAAGCGUUAAAUUUCUCUUUUCAACUGUUGAGUUUUACCUUUUGAUAUUUUCCUCCAAUUUAAUUUGUUUGUUCUUUAUUUUUAGUUCAUUGCAAAAAG